rnacentral:rRNA from 1 species
GAUGAACGCUAGCGAUGUGCCUAAUACAUGCAAGUCGAACGAGGAAAUUUAUUUCCUAGUGGCGAACGGGUGAGUAACACGUAUUUAAUUUACCCUUGCGAGGGGAAUAACUAAUGGAAACGUUAGCUAAUACCCCCAUAUGUGUAAAGACAUAUGUUUUUAUUAUUAAAGGAUCGUUUUGGUCCGCGCAGGGAUAAGAGUGCGUUGUAUUAGUUAGUUGGUGGGGUAAUGGCCUACCAAGACUAUGA